rnacentral:lncRNA from 1 species
GGGUUGUGAGUAGUUCACCACCCGGACUCCUUUCAAAAGAUAGUGAAGGCCGUUCUCGCUUAGUUAUUUGUCUUUUGUUUAUUUCUUUAAUUUUCAUUUGUUCUUUUAGAAGGAAUAUUUCUGUAGCCCUAUUGGGCAUUCUAAAUUAUUGUGUAAGGAAUGUAAACCCUAAACUUUAUUAUUUCGCUUUUGUAUUUAAUUUU